ACGCACGCUGGCGGCGUGCUUAACACAUGCAAGUCGCACGGAAAGGCCCCGCUUUUGUGGGGUGCUCGAGUGGCGAACGGGUGAGUAACACGUGAGUAACCUGCCCUUGACUUUGGGAUAACUUCAGGAAACUGGGGCUAAUACCGGAUAGGAGCUCCUGCUGCAUGGUGGGGGUUGGAAAGUUUCGGCGGUUGGGGAUGGACUCGCGGCUUAUCAGCUUGUUGGUGGGGUAGUGGCUUACCAAGGCUUUGACGGGUAGCCGGCCUGAGAGGGUGACCGGCCACAUUGGGACUGGGAUACGGCCCAGACUCCUACGGGAGGCAGCAGUGGAGAAUAUUGCACUAUGGGCGGAAGCCUGAUGCAGCAAAGCCGCAUGCGGGAUGACGGCCUUCGGGUUGUAAACCGCUUUCGCCUGUGACGAAGCGUGAGUGACGGUAAUAGGUAAAGAAGCACCGGCUAACUACGUG
rnacentral:rRNA from 1 species